rnacentral:rRNA from 1 species
UUGUGGAAAACUAAAGUCCCAGCUAAAAUAAAGAUUUUUCUGUGGCUGGUAAAUAGGAAGAGGAUAUUGACCAGAGACUCACUACUCAAAAGAGGGAGGCGAGGGGAUAAAAAAUGUGUAUUUUGUGGAAAAGAUGAGUCAGUGGACCAUUUAUUCUUCACUUGCUCGGUGGCUUCUCUGAUUUGGAGUUUAGCGAAAUGUUCUGUAGGUUUGAGGACAAUUCCUUCAUAA